CAAAUCUUCAUGGCAUCCCCUUUCGGUCUUCAAUUAAAUUUCUGCUCAAAAAAUGGACCUGCCUCAAAAAGGUGUCUACCAUACGCGGCUACCAUUAUUUCUUCGUUAAUGGAUGUUGGAGCCUCCGCUAAUAGAGCUGGCUGACUGCUUCCUCUUUCGCGGAGCCAUAAAUUCUUUGCAUAUCCCAGUGCUUUUUCGAUCAAAGGAUAGGAUAUCUGACCGUCCUUCAGAUAAUCUCGCAUGAUCGACAUUGCCGUGUCAUAUUUUGAGAGAGUGU
rnacentral:misc_RNA from 1 species